rnacentral:rRNA from 1 species
GAUGAACGCUGGCGGCGUGCCUAAUACAUGCAAGUCGAGCGAACGGACGAGAAGCUUGCUUCUCUGAUGUUAGCGGCGGACGGGUGAGUAACACGUGGAUAACCUACCUAUAAGACUGGGAUAACUUCGGGAAACCGGAGCUAAUACCGGAUAAUAUUUUGAACCGCAGGGUUCAAAAGUGAAAGACGGUCCUGCGGUCACUAAUAGAUGGAUCCGCGCUGCAUUAGCUAGUUGGUAAGGUAACGGCUUACCAAGGCAACGAUGCAUAGCCGACCUGAGAGGCUGGUAGCCGACACUGGAACUUGGACACGGUCCAGACUCCUACGGGAGGCAGCAGUCGCGAAUCUUCCGCAAUGGGCGAAAGCCUGACGGAGCAACGCCGCGUGAGUUAUGAAGGUCUUCGGAUCGUAAAACCCUGUUAUUAGGGAAGAACAUAUGUGUAAGUAACUGUGCACAUCUUGACGGUACCUAAUCAGAAAGCCCCGGCUAACUACGUG